rnacentral:piRNA from 1 species
UACAAAGGACACUGCAGCUGAC